AUGUUUCUUCUUUUGAUGUGUUCUUGUCUUCACCUCAGGGACCUGGACGCCCUGCCUGUUGAGGCAAGGUUGUGGAUGUCCUGGGCCUUAUGGUCCCUGCUUCGCAUGAUGUGGGGCAGCAUCCAUCUGAACGCUCAUCACUACCAAGGCCAAGGUUUUGGAAAGAAGUCCUUCUUCUCCCAUCUUACUAUUAGACCAUCGGAUUUGGGACACGGGACUAAGGCCGCUGACUCUGCAUCCCUUACAAGCAUACACAGCUGCCUGCCCUUUUGCCUUCUGUCCAUCCUGGAGCGGCCUUCUGCAAGAUUCUAUGUUACCUGUCCUCGGUCCACUUGGAAUCUGUUGAGAGAGCCGAGUCCUGUGUGUUCCUAGGCCCUGCCACAGGGACCUGGACGCCCUGCCUGUUGAGGCAAGGUUGUGGAUGUCCCGGGCCUUAUGGUCCCUGCUUCGCAUGAUGUGGGGCAGCAUCCAUCUGAACGCUCAUCACUACCAAUGCCAAAGUUUUGGAAGGAAGUCCUUCUUCUCCCAUCUUAGUAUUAGACCAUCGGAUUUGGGACACGGGACUAAGGCCGCUGACUCUGCAUCCCUUACAAGCAUACAAAGCUGCCUGCCCUUUUGCCUUGUGUCCAUCCUGGAGCGGCCUUC